rnacentral:lncRNA from 1 species
UUAUAUACUUACAUGUAAACAUUAAGCAAUCCAGAUUUUUCCGUUGUACUGUCCUCAAUGAUUUGAAGUCCUAUUUUCAUACACAGAUUUAUUAGACCCACACCCAAACUAAUGUUAAACUAUGAUAAAAACGUUAUCAGGAAAAAUUCAUUUAUCAAACCGUUCGUCAGCAGGACAAUUCAUAAAUACCUAGAUAACGUUCG